rnacentral:misc_RNA from 1 species
UCCGGUUUGUCACCGGCAGUCUGGCGUGAGUCCCCAACUCAAUGCUGGCAACACGCCACGGGGGUUGCGCUCGUUGCGGGACUUAACUCAACAUCUCACGACACGAGCUGACGACAGCCAUGCAGCAUCUGUGGCGCACCCUCGAAGGUCACACGUUUCCGUGCGCUUGCAGCGCCAUGUCAAGCCCAGGUAAGGUGGGGAUGACGUAGAGGAACACCAAC